CCUACGGGAGGCAGCAGUGGGGAAUAUUGCACAAUGGGCGCAAGCCUGAUGCAGCCAUGCCGCGUGUGUGAAGAAGGCCUUCGGGUUGUAAAGCACUUUCAGCGGGGAGGAAGGCGGUGAGGUUAAUAACCUCAUCGAUUGACGUCACCCGCAGAAGAAGCACCGGCUAACUCCGUGCCAGCAGCCGCGGUAAUACGGAGGGUGCAAGCGUUAAUCGGAAUUACUGGGCGUAAAGCGCACGCAGGCGGUCUGUCAAGUCGGAUGUGAAAUCCCCGGGCUCAACCUGGGAACUGCAUUCGAAACUGGCAGGCUAGAGUCUUGUAGAGGGGGGUAGAAUUCCAGGUGUAGCGGUGAAAUGCGUAGAGAUCUGGAGGAAUACCGGUGGCGAAGGCGGCCCCCUGGACAAAGACUGACGCUCAGGUGCGAAAGCGUGGGGAGCAAACAGGAUUAGAUACCCGGGUAGUC
rnacentral:rRNA from 1 species